rnacentral:rRNA from 1 species
UACAGAGGUCUCAAGCGUUGUUCGGAUUCAUUGGGCGUAAAGGGUGCGUAGGCGGCGCGGUAAGUCGGGUGUGAAAUCUCGGAGCUUAACUCCGAAACUGCAUUCGAUACUGCCGUGCUUGAGGACUGGAGAGGAGACUGGAAUUCAUGGUGUAGCAGUGAAAUGCGUAGAGAUCAUGAGGAAGACCAGUGGCGAAGGCGGGUCUCUGGACAGUUCCCGACACUGAGGCACGAAGGCCAGGGGAGCAAACGGG